UACAGAGGUCCCAAGCGUUGUUCGGAUUCACUGGGCGUAAAGGGCGCGUAGGCGGGCUGUCAAGUCUGGGGUGAAAUCCCACGGCUCAACCGUGGAACUGCCUUAGAUACUGACGGCCUCGAGGGAGAUAGGGGCGAGCGGAACUGUGAGUGGAGCGGUGAAAUGCGUUGAUAUUCACAGGAACUCCGGUGGCGAAGGCGGCUCGCUGGAUCUUUUCUGACGCUGAGGCGCGAAAGCUAGGGGAGCAAACGGG
rnacentral:rRNA from 1 species